CUUCGGAUUUGGGAGCUAGGCGCGGCGCACGGGUGAGUAACGCGUGGAUAACCUGCCCACUAGUGGGGAAUAACCCCGGGAAACUGGGGCUAAUACCGCAUAAUCUUUUCCUGACACCGGUCAGGAAAUGCAAAGCCCGCAAGGGCGCUGGUGGAGGGAUCCGCGUCUGAUCAGCUAGUUGGUGAGGUAACGGCUCACCAAGGCGGAGACCGGUAGCCGGUCUGAGAGGACGAUCGGCCACACUGGAACUGAGACACGGUCCAGACUCCUACGGGAGGCAGCAGUGAGGAAUAUUGCGCAAUGGGGGAAACCCUGACGCAGCGACGCCGCGUGGAGGACGACGCCCUUCGGGGUGUAAACUCCUUUCGACGGGGACGAAUGCCCGCAAGGGUUUGACGGUACCCGUAUAAGAAGCCCCGGCUAACUACGUGCCAGCAGCCGCGGUAAUACGUAGGGGGCAAGCGUUGCUCGGAAUUACUGGGCGUAAAGGGUCCGUAGGCGGUGGGGCAUGUCGGUUGUGAAAUCUCCCGGCUUAACUGGGAGGGUGCGACCGAAACUGUUCCGCUAGAGGGCCGGAGAGGCGAGUGGAAUUGCUGGUGUAGCGGUGAAAUGCGUAGAGAUCAGCAGGAACACCGGAGGCGAAGGCGGCUCGCUGGACGGCACCUGACGCUGAGGGACGAAAGCUAGGGGAGCAAACAGGAUUAGAUACCCUGGUAGUCCUAGCCCUAAACGAUGGUCACUUGCU
rnacentral:rRNA from 1 species